GUAAAACAUACACACUCUCUUUCUCUUUCUUUCUCUCUCUCUCUCUCUUCUCUCUCUCUCUUUUCUCUCUCUUUCUCUCUCUCUCUUUAAUCAGUUUUUUGAGACAAGGUUUUUCUGUACAGCCCUGGCUGUCCUGGAACUCGCUCUCUAGACCAGGCCAGCCUCGAACUCACAAAGAUCCACAUGCCUCUGCCUCCUGAGUGCUGUAAUUAAAGGUGUGCGUGUGCCACCACUGACUGGCAAAACCUUAUCUCUUUAGGAUUGCUUUCCAGAUGAGAAUUUUUAGCUCAAAGUGUAUAUUCUCCGUCAACGGUGCUUCUGGGAUACUUACUAAGCAGCUGUUAGGCGUUGGGUACCACUGGGGUCUGGUAGUGAACAUAGCAGAUAAAGCCCCUGCCCUGAAGAGCAGAUAGUUUGUCUGGGAAGAACUCAGGGGUUAGUAUUCAAGUAAUUCCAAUAUUGUGAGAUCAGGCUUGGGUGAGUUCUUUCGGGCAUACAGCACAGAUUUUAUUGCUGGCGAUGGAUAAAGCUUUUAGGAAGAAGUGGUUCGAACGCUGAGUCUUUCCAAGGAGGAGAUAAGAAGACAUUGCCCUCAGGGAGCUGAUGGGAGGAAGGGGGAGAGGGAUGGGAAGCACAACCACAGCGCCACCCAGGCAGAUCGUAUGACCAUUUAAGGAACUGAAGGACAUUCUCAUUACUCCCUUGAGUUCUGGGAGUGGGGAAGGUAAUGUGAUGUGGAAUUGAUCUGAGGGAAGCUGGCUGAGUCAGCUGGGAGAGAAGUUAGGUGUUGCCCGGGUGGGAGUGAAGGCACUCCCACCAGGACAGUUCAGGAGAGGGAAGAGGUUUGUCCUUACAGUCUGAGGGUGAUUAGAAUGGAGAGCCUGCUUCCUCCUGAGAAGCUGGGAAGGUAGCACUGACAGGAGGACCCUGGGUUGCCAGACCUCAUUAAUUAGCUUAAUUCCUGAAGAAGGAUCCAUGAUAUAACAGCAGCACUAAGCUUCAGAAAGGACUGGUUGCCAAAGCCGCAUCUUGACCCUGGGGUACAGCACCCAGUUAAGGAGGGAUUACAAACCCAGUGUUUCUGCUCCGCAAAACAGACUUAGAUGCAGAGUGGCGGGCAGAUAAAUGAAUGCAUAUAAACAAACAAACAAA
rnacentral:lncRNA from 1 species